GACGAACGCUGGCGGCGUGCUUAACACAUGCAAGUCGAACGGAAAGGCCCUGCUUUUGUGGGGUGCUCGAGUGGCGAACGGGUGAGUAACACGUGAGUAACCUGCCCUUGACUUUGGGAUAACUUCAGGAAACUGGGGCUAAUACCGGAUAGGAGCUCCUGCUGCAUGGUGGGGGUUGGAAAGUUUCGGCGGUUGGGGAUGGACUCGCGGCUUAUCAGCUUGUUGGUGGGGUAGUGGCUUACCAAGGCUUUGACGGGUAGCCGGCCUGAGAGGGUGACCGGCCACAUUGGGACUGAGAGACGGACCAGACUCCUACGGGAGGCAGCAGGGGGGAAUAUUGCACAAUGGGAGGGAGCCGGAUGCAGCAACGCCGCGGGCGGGAUGACGGCCUUCGGGUUGUAAACCGCUUUCGCCUGUGACGAAGCGUGAGUGACGGUAAUGGGUAAAGAAGCACCGGCUAACUACGUG
rnacentral:rRNA from 1 species